GUCAUGGAAAAAUCUGCACAAAUCUCCGUCGCUCUUAUGAUCAUUCCCUUUCUCUUCAUCUGCCUCCAGGUCCAAGGAUCAUCGGGAGCCAACAUCACAGCAGACAUCCCGGUGCCAUCCAGGACGACGAUUUUACAAACGCGUUAUUCGCCCCAGACAACCGCAUCAAAGCAGUGUGACCUUUGCCACUGUUGCCCAGGGAACACUGACGAGAGUUGUUACGUUACUACGUGCUGCUAUAGGACUACAUGCAACGAUCCAGCCCAGCCACCUGGUACUUGUACAGCUGAGAGGCUCUACUGCGGCUGCGAUGAAAAAACAUGCAAAUAAUCAACCUCGUCUUAUCAUAAAAAGCAGAUGCCUAUAGACUAUGGAGUGAUAAAUUCAGGGAAUUAUGGGCUUUCACU